UUGCUCCUGCUGCAUCCACAUUUAAUAGCGUGCUCUUCGUAAGUGGUGGUUACAAUGCCAACAUAUCAGCAGAAAGGUAUGAUCCAAGGGAAGGUUUCUGGGCGCUACUUCCAAGUAUGAGCGUGAGAAGAGGAUCCCACUGACCCACUCGGUAGCUGUCUUGGGGGAUGCCCUGUAUGCUGUGGGAGGGUAUGAUGGAAGCAACAUGAUAUCUAACGUGGAGAUUUUUUACCUGCGCACUAAUUCAUGGAGAAUAUGCAGCCCAUUCAGCAUCGCGAAAGGAUAUGGAUGUGCAGUUACAAUGUACGAUAAUUUGUUCUACAUUGGCAGGCACAGAUACGUCCUGCCUGCAACUACAUUUCAACCGUCCCUGAUCCAAGUACGAACACAUAGAGAACACUGUUCUCAUGCCAGCAUUUUCCAAACUACUUAAUGCAGCUAUGUAACAUGGCAGUUCCACCUAUAUACAAUGUUAAGUUAGUGAACCCUCCUAUUCUCUUACAGCUCCUUAGCUGUCCCAAUUGGAGAUUUGAAUUGUGAUAGAACAACUGCUCUUGUCAAAUACUUCUAUAUGUAUCAUCUCCAGUGGUUUAUUCAUAAACUAUUUAUCACUC